CCUACGGGAGGCAGCAGUGGGGAAUAUUGCACAAUGGGGGAAACCCUGAUGCAGCGACGCCGCGUGAAGGAAGAAGGUCUUCGGAUUGUAAACUCCUGUUGUUGAGGAAGAACGGUAAUGGGAGUGGAAAGUCCAUUACGUGACGGUACUUAACCAGAAAGGGACGGCUAACUACGUGCCAGCAGCCGCGGUAAUACGUAGGUCCC
rnacentral:rRNA from 1 species